rnacentral:rRNA from 1 species
GAUGAACGCUGGCGGCGUGCCUAAUACAUGCAAGUCGAGCGAACAGACGAGGAGCUUGCUCCUUUGACGUUAGCGGCGGACGGGUGAGUAACACGUAGAUAACCUACCUAUCAGACUGGGAUAACUUCGGGAAACCGGAGCUAAUACCGGAUAAUAUUUCGAACCGCAUUGUUCGAUAGUGAAAGAUGGCUUUGCUAUCACUUAUAGAUGGACCUGCGCCGUAUUAGCUAGUUGGUAAGGUAACGGCUUACCAAGGCAACGAUACCUAGCCGACCUGAGAGGGUGAUCGGCCACACUGGAACUGAGACACGGCACAGACUCCUACGGGAGGCAGCAGUAGGGAAUCUUCCGCAAUGGGAGAAAGCCUGACGGAGCAACGCCGCGUGAGUGAUGAAGGUCUUCGGAUCGUAAAACUCUGUUAUUAGGGAAGAACAAACGUGUAAGUAACUGUGCACGUCUUGACGGUACCUAAUCAGAAAGCCACGGCUAACUACGU